ACCGCCCUCGCCGUCGCCUGCGGGCUUUCUCCGGUCGCUGCUGCCACCACCGUUGCUUCGCGGGCUGGGAGGCCCGGGGUCCCCGGGCGAACAGAGGCUGCGGUGGACUGACGCCGCAGGGGCGAGCUAGCCGGCUCCGCGCCUCUCCGCGGGAUCCAGACGCCUCCUGGGGCUGCCGGCGGAGGGUCUGAGGCGGCGCGGCCAUGGCUCACCUCCGGGGAUUUGCCAACCAGGUCCCUUCCUCCCCAGCCAGGGCAGCCUCUGCCUGUCCCCCGCCUCUCGUGACCGGCACUGUCUGCCUUCUGUCUCCCCCGGCCCCACAGCACUCUCGAGUGGACCCUGAAGAGCUCUUCACCAAGCUUGACCGCAUUGGCAAGGGCUCCUUUGGGGAAGUCUACAAGGGCAUUGAUAACCACACGAAGGAGGUGGUGGCCAUCAAGAUCAUCGACCUGGAGGAGGCCGAGGAUGAGAUCGAGGACAUCCAGCAGGAGAUCACCGUCCUCAGCCAGUGCGACAGCCCCUACAUCACCCGCUACUUUGGCUCCUACCUAAAGAGCACCAAGCUGUGGAU
rnacentral:sRNA from 1 species